ACGAACGCUGGCGGCGUGCUUAACACAUGCAAGUCGAGCGGUAAGGCCCCUUCGGGGGUACACGAGCGGCGAACGGGUGAGUAACACGUGAGCAAUCUGCCCUUCACACGGGGAUAACUCCGGGAAACCGAAGCUAAUACCCGAUACAACCACUGUAGACAUCUACCGGUGGUGGAAAGUUCUGGCGGUGAAGGAUGAGCUCGCGGCCUAUCAGCUAGUUGGUGGGGUAACGGCCCACCAAGGCGACGACGGGUAGCCGGCCUGAGAGGGUGACCGGCCACACUGGGACUGAGACACGGCCCAGACUCCUACGGGAGGCAGCAGUGGGGAAUAUUGGACAAUGGGCGAAAGCCUGAUCCAGCAACGCCGCGUGAGGGAUGACGGCCUUCGGGUUGUAAACCUCUUUCAGCAGGGACGAAGCGCAAGUGACGGUACCUGCAGAAGAAGCACCGGCCAACUACGU
rnacentral:rRNA from 1 species